rnacentral:rRNA from 1 species
GUGAACGCUGGCGGUAGACCUAACACAUGCACGUCGAACGGCAGCACAGUAAGAGCUUGCUCUUACGGGUGGCGAGUGGCGGACGGGUGAGGAAUACAUCGGAAUCUACUUUUUCGUGGGGGAUAACGUAGGGAAACUUACGCUAAUACCGCAUACGACCUACGGGUGAAAGCAGGGGAUCUUCGGACCUUGCGCGAUUGAAUGAGCCGAUGUCGGAUUAGCUAGUUGGCGGGGUAAAGGCCCACCAAGGCGACGAUCCGUAGCUGGUCUGAGAGGAUGAUCAGCCACACUGGAACUGAGACACGGUCCAGACUCCUACGGGAGGCAGCAGUGGGGAAUAUUGGACAAUGGGCGCAAGCCUGAUCCAGCCAUACCGCGUGGGUGAAGAAGGCCUUCGGGUUGUAAAGCCCUUUUGUUGGGAAAGAAAAGCAGCAGGUUAAUACCCCGCUGUUCUGACGGUACCCAAAGAAUAAGCACCGGCUAACUUCGUG